GGAGAGGUGGCUGAGCUGGCUGAAGGCGCUCGACUCGAAAUCGAGUAGGCAGGUCGACCCUGCCUCGUGGGUUCAAAUCCCACCCUCUCCGCCA
rnacentral:tRNA from 1 species